rnacentral:rRNA from 1 species
CUUAACACAUGCAAGUCGAGCGAUGAACCACUUNNGUGGGGAUUAGUGGCGAACGGGUGAGUAACACGUGGGCAAUCUGCCCUGCACUCUGGGACAAGCCCUGGAAACGGGGUCUAAUACCGGAUAUCACUUCCACUCGCAUGGGUGGGGGUCGAAAGCUCCGGCGGUGCAGGAUGAGCCCGCGGCCUAUCAGCUUGUUGGUGAGGUAACGGCUCACCAAGGCGACGACCUCUGUAGCCGGCCUGAGAGGGCGACCGGCCACACUGGGACUGAGACACGGCCCAGACUCCUACGGGAGGCAGCAGUGGGGAAUAUUGCACAAUGGGCGAAAGCCUGAUGCAGCGACGCAACGUGAGGGAUGACGGCCUUCGGGUUGUAAACCUCUUUCAGCAGGGAAGAAGCGAAAGUGACGGUACCUGCAGAAGAAGCGCCGGCUAACUACGUGCCAGCAGCCGCGGUAAUACGUAGGGCGCAAGCGUUGUCCGGAAUUAUUGGGCGUAAAGAGCUCGUAGGCGGAAGUCACGUCGGGUGUGAAAGCCCGGG